AGUGAACGCUGGCGGUAGGCCUAACACAUGCAAGUCGAACGGCAGCACAGUAAGAGCUUGCUCUUACGGGUGGCGAGUGGCGGACGGGUGAGGAAUACAUCGGAAUCUACUUUUUCGUGGGGGAUAACGUAGGGAAACUUACGCUAAUACCGCAUACGACCUACGGGUGAAAUCAGGGGAUCUUCGGACCUUGCGCGAUUGAAUGAGCCGAUGUCGGAUUAGCUAGUUGGCGGGGUAAAGGCCCACCAAGGCGACGAUCCGUAGCUGGUCUGAGAGGAUGAGCAGCAACACUGGCACUGAGACACGGUCCAGACUCCGACGGGAGGCAGCAGUGGGGAAUAUUGGACAAUGGGCGCAAGCCUGAUCCAGCCAUACCGCGUGGGUGAAGAAGGCCUUCGGGUUGUAAAGCCCUUUUGUUGGGAAAGAAAAGCAGCAGGUUAAUACCCCGCUGUUCUGACGGUACCCAAAGAAUAAGCACCGGCUAACUUCGUG
rnacentral:rRNA from 1 species